rnacentral:sRNA from 1 species
GCCAGGCACAGUGGCACGCACUUGUAAUCCCAGUGGCUUGGGAGGCUGAGGCAGGAGGAUCACAAGUUCCAAGCUGGCCUCAGCAACAUAGAGAGACCCUGUCUCUA